CGCCUCCCUCCGCCGCCACUCAGACUCCGUACGGGAGGCGAGCGAGGUGGGAAGUAGUUGGACAAUGGCGCAACGCCUGAUCCAGCAAUGCCGCGUGAGUGAAGAAGGUCUUCGGAUUGUAAGCUCUUUCGACGGGACGAUGAUGACGGUACCGUAGAAGAAGCCCGGCUAACUUCGUGCCAGCAGCCGCGGUAAUAC
rnacentral:rRNA from 1 species